UCUACUUCUCCCUUUCCCUCUGCCCCUCCCUCCGCUCGUGCACUCUCUCUUAAAUAAAUAAAUAAAAUAUUUUAAAAUAAAUAAAUAGUACUACCUCCAGGAGGCAUUACUGCAGGGCAAGUGAGUCUUCCACGCGGAGCACUUAGAAGAGUGCCCAGCACUCGCUAAGCCCUCCGUGGCCAUCAGCCACUCUUACCACCUCCUGGCCUGUGGUGAGUUUAUUUUUUUGGCGUUGAGUAGGCGGACAGGGCCCCUGGUCAUCUUAUUGUGCCUGAGGCACGGGGCUGAGGACGGUCUUGGACUGACUCUGAGGGGCACUGGAUGCUUCCAUUCUCAGGAGCACUGGAGGGAUUGGAAAGUCCCCGGGAAAAGAUCCCUUUGCUCCAAAGAGGGAGCAACUUUGGGUUUUUAAGUGUAAAUGACGUUGAAGACCGGAACUGUGGGAGUCAAGUGGGCACACAUGUCCCUUGACUCAGAUCUCCUGGCUUCAGAGGAAAACCUCCAAACUUCCCCUGACCCAGACUGGACCUGGGAUGGAGCAUGUCUCGUGAUAAUAAUGCAGGAAGACGGCCUUCUUCAGUGUUUGCAUAAAAAUUGAGCUUUAGCGCAUUUUUUUGGGUUUGUUUCCAGAGAAGAAGCCUUUGUGCAGAUACUGGGUCAAGAAUGCCUUUUCAAAGCUUGUCUCACACCUCGUGUGGAAGAGGCCCCCAGGGAGGGCACGGUUCCUGCAGAAUGCUUCGCAGUAGGAGGGAGGCAGGAGCCCUCCCCUUCUGUCCUCUAGGAAGCCUAGGAAGAGUGUCCCGAGGGAAUGGGAAAGGCCCCUGUGUACCAGGAAACACAAGAAAUCCUUCACAUGAUUCUUAUAUACAGACGUGCACCCAAGUGGCCGGAAGCCAGGAUGAAUACGGUAUAUGCGCCCUUGUGAAGUCCUUCCCCAGGAGAGAGAGAGGAAUUCCCAUUGGAGGCAAGCAUGGAAGCCUGCAGGAAAGAGGGGGCAUGUGA
rnacentral:lncRNA from 1 species